rnacentral:lncRNA from 1 species
UCCCGGGGAAGUGAAAGUGGAGGGGAAGGCGCAACCGGGAGCCAGCUAGCGGUGGCGGGCACCCCGCAUCCCACUGCCCCCGCGGGUGCCGGAGCAAGAGCACCCCGCCCUCCUGCUCGGGUCACGCGGCGGCCGGCGCUGCUGCCGUCACGUCCUCGGCCCCGGCGCGCCGGCUUUUCGGUGCCCUCCAGCUCCCUGCUCAGCCACCUCCCCCUCCGCGCGCCCUCUGCCCCAGCCCGACUUCCCGUUGCCCGGCAUGUGGGCGUUGGAGACCCGAGUGGCCCCUGUUCCCGUGGCUCCACUUAGGGAGAAAGGGUGACCCUCCGCAGGACUCCCCCGGUCGGGUCCGGGGAAUCCCUGCGCGUGCUCAGCGCUUGGGGGGGGCAUCCGCUCGCCGCUCCGACUGUCCCACCUAACUGCCUCUGCCUGUGCCUUGGGCAUGGGGCUCCCGCUCGCCUGCACUAGGUGAGGGGGGGGUGCCCCAGAGUUAAAUCUGGAGGCUGAUGCGGACUCCUGGCUUCACCUCCCAGACGUGGAGGCUAAAUUUAGCUGGAGUUGGGGCGUGUGUGUCCAGGAGCCAGCCUGGCCCCGGGAGACUCCUUUGCUCUCUCCAGUUAGUUCUCUGGGCCAAGAGUGGGAGAUAAAGUAGAACUGUUCAUCCCGGAGCCAUGGAAUCUCCUCGGCCUUGCUCAGGCCCCUUUGGUCUGAAGUUCGGACUUGGCUUGAUGCUGCGCUGGCACCUUCAGCAGAACCCCCCGCCCCACGGCGCCGCCACACACACCCAUAGGCUGACUUCUGCUGAGCUGCAGCUUCCCCUCCGCCGUUUCAGGAAGUAACCUCCCUUCCCCUCUGAAGCACUCCCCCACACCUCCCAGCCCCUGAUGCAAACCACCCACCAGGCUCUUCCCAGCGUCUGCACCCUGGGGCGUCUCAGGAACCUUGGGGCUCCUACUCCCUGGGGCGGGCCAUGGAGGCAGGUGAGGAAACAGUUACUGAAAGGCUGUUGUGGGCCUAAUUCUGUCUCGGCUCGGGCUCCGGGGCUCUGUGGCAGAGGGCGAGGGACUGCGGGAACCCGUCUCCCACAGUCACUUUAGACCUAACUGGAGACAUCUAAGGAUCCUGUGGGUGGGAGGGCACUGUGGCUGCGCCAGGCUGGUGGAGUUAAGGAAAGGCACUAAAGCUUGGGUUUUGUGAGGUUUCCCAGAAUCCUGUGGGAGUGGGCCCUUUUGGAGUGUCAACUGGGUCAGGAGGUCCUUAGGAUGUCAUAACUAGAGCAGAAAGCCAGAAACCCUUAAAAAAGACUAAGGUUGGUGUGACGUGGCCAGAAUCAAUGGUGUCAUUGCAGGUCAUUACAGGAAAUAGUGUGAUCUCUGGUGUUCUAACCAGGCAGGUAGUGGGGAGGGGUGGGGCCUUGGAAGGCAUACACGAGCAACAUGGUGUCAGAGCCCAGGCUAGCGGUCUGAGGUGGAGUUUGGUUCUUUGGGGAGAGAACUGCCAAGUGGGAGGAACCUGGUCUUUUUAAGGAGCUGUGGUGGGCUCUGAGCGCCUGGGGAUGUGAGAGGUGGGAAUGACUGACCUUAUCCCAUCUUCUUUUGGAAGGAUUAGGAACCGGAGGGGACUGAAGGGAGGGGGUAGCACUCUGUUGCCGUGGCAACACCGGUUUCCCUUGCUCCAUCUCUCCCCCACUUGCCCAUUCCAGAUGCAGUGAGUGAGGGGGGGGCCAUGGCUGAGGAGCGGCCCCCCCGGCUGGUGGAUUACUUCGUGGUUGCUGGGCUUGCGGGGAAUGGAGCACCUAUCCCUGAGGAAACAUGGGUUCCUGAGCCCAGUGGACCCCUGCGCCCUUCCCGGCCAGCUGAGCCCAUCACCGAUGUGGCAGUCAUUGCUAGGGCACUGGGCGAGGAGGUGCCCCAGGGCUAUACAUGCAUCCAGGCUUCUGCUGGGGGCCACCCCUUGGAAUUCAGUGCUGGGCUCCUGGGUGGAACUCAGCCUGUCAUCUGCUACCGCAGAGGCCGGGACAAACCCCCCCUUGUGGAGUUGGGGUAUGUGCCUCCUACGCAUGCUGGCCCCAGGGGAGCUGGGAGGGACUAUGAGUUAGAGCCAAGUCAAGGUAGGGGUGUGGGAUGAGGGGAGGGCCAGAGGCCAGGGAGGAGGGGCUGAAGUUGUCAGUGCUUGGUCUCAGGUUGUCUCAGGUUGGGUUUGCAUGCCCGUGCUGCUGCCACCUAGCCCUUUGGUCUUGGGCAGGUUAUAAAGCCCCACCAAUGAGGAUAAUAGUCCCUCGUAGGAUGCUUGAUAAGAUUGAGUGGAGUAAGACCCCUGAGGGAUUCAGCACGUCAGUGACUUCUUAGUGUCUGUUCAUGAGAGAGAGAGUCGCGGAAGGCAUGUGGGUUGUUACUGACUGACAAGUAGGGUCAAGGGCAAAGAGGGGCUAUGGGAUUCUGAGUUCAGCAAGCAGAGGUGGGCCCGGUAUUGGGUUUGACAAGGCUGAGUGUGCAGGGCAGUUUCCACUAGGUAGGCAGAUCUGACAGGAUUGGGGUCUUUCUCCUCGGUCCUGUCCUCUUGACAUUUCUCUGUUUUCUGUGCCCAGGGUGUUAUAUGAGGGCAAGGAACGUCCCAAGCCUGGCUUCCAAGUGCUUGAUACUACACCGUACAGCCACUCAGCCAACCUGGCCCCUCCAGGCCCCGGGCAUCCCCGCACCUACCUCACUUAUAGGCGGGCAGCAGAGGGGGCAGGACUGCAUGCCCUGGGCAUCACUGACCUCUGCCUGGUCCUGCCCAGCAAGGGUGAGGGCACGCCUCAUACUUACUGCCGGUUGCCCCGCAACCUCAACCCUGGCAUGGUGAGUGGGGCUGUGGAGCUGAGAGCUGAGACCUGGGCCCUUGGUGUGAGGGUGUGGAACUGGGCCCAAGGGUAUAAAGGGGCCAGGGGCAGGCCAGACGGGUGAUAGGGCUUGAGGGCUUGUGAUUAGAGGCAGCUCAGAAGAUCAUUUGGGGGUAGUAGAGAGAAAGUGGACCCCAGAAACCUUUGGUAGCUGUGUGUUUGCUUGUUUCUUGCCAUCGGGGGCAGUGGGGCCCAGCAGUGUACCUGUGCUUCAAGGUGGGCCUGGCCAAAGCCAACACACUGGUGUAUGAGGCAGGUGAGUGGCCCCUUUGUCCCUCCUAGCCUUUGACCCUUCGUGUCCCUCUGCCCUUGGUGCCUCUUGGCUGAUUCCUUCAAGUGUUCCCUAGAAUUCAUUUCCCUUUUGCUGCUUGGCCUUCUCUGGGAUCCCCUGGCUCCUCUCCCUGAAGUCUGAUGGACACCCCUCCUUUUGGGUACUCCUCACUCUGCUUGGGUGCAGAGCUGCUGGGCCGCUACCCAGAGGAGGACAAUGAGGCUUUCCCGCUGCCCGAGUCAGUGCCAGUCUUCUGCCUGCCCAUGGGGGCCACUAUCGAGUGCUGGCCCUCCCAGACCAAGUACCCCGUGCCCGUCUUCUCCACCUUUGUACUCACGGGUGCCGCUGGCGAUAAGGUAGGUGUGGGGCCUGUGGUAAGGGUCUGGGCCAUGCAGAGCCUGCCUGACCGUCCCUCUGUCCCCUGCCAGGUGUAUGGUGCCGCCCUGCAGUUCUAUGAGGCCUUUCCAAGGGCCAGGCUGUCAGAGCGGCAGGCGCGGGCACUGGGCCUGUUGAGUGCCGUGGAACGGGGCCGGGCGCUGGGCGGCCGUGCGGUGCGCAGCCGGCGGGCCAUCGCCGUGCUAUCCCACUGGCCUGCCUUUCCAGCCUUCAGAGCCUUCCUCACCUUCCUUUACCGCUACUCCGUCUCCGGCCCCCACCGCCUGCCCUUGGAAGCGUGAGCAUGGCUACCCUGCCACUGGGGAGGAGUGAGGAGGGUGCAGGGAGGCGGGAAAGAUUAGCAUGGAGAUGGGAGUGGGCUGGGCACGGGGAGGGGCCGGCCGGAGUGUGGGGUUGUACAGUGUGGCCAUUGGAAAAAACUGUCACCGGAGGAGGAGACGGACAGCCUGAAAUCCAGUCUGUCCUGCUGGUUGGGCCUGGCGAGGGCUGCGUGUGAUUUGCACAAGUCUGUUGAACAAGAGAGGCUGGGUGGCUGAUGCAGGCCUUGAAGUGGGGUUCAGGGAGGAAUAAGAUUCUUUUUUUUUUUUCCUAUGAAAUUAAAUUUUUUAAGUGAUUAUUUUUAGUUGUAUAUUUCACUUAUUCAUUUUUAGGUGGUGCUGAGGAUGGAACCCAGGGUCUCGCAUGUGGGAGGCCAGCCUCUGCCGCUGAGCCCCACCCGCCCUGUUCUUAGUUCUGGGUAGCAGUGGGGUAGGACUAGGGCUCUUAGGAGAGGAGAGGGAGAGGGACACGGGGUGGAGGAGGACGGGUGGACGGCGUGUGCCUCACCUGCUCCCUCUCUCCCCAGGCACAUCUCCCACUUCAUUCACAACGUGCCCUUCCCUUCCCCACAGAGACCCCGCAUCUUAGUGCAGGUAAGGGCCAGGGCUGGGCUGGACGGACGGAGAGGAGCAGGCCUGUCACCAACACUGACCUCUGGCUUUUCGGCCCCCUAGAUGUCUCCCUAUGACAACCUGCUCCUCUGUCAGCCUGUGUCCUCACCCUUGCCCCUCAGGUAUGUGCCCGGGUUUGGGGGAGGGGGUCUUUGAUGACUGAGGACAUGGUAGGUGCCGGGGGCAGUUGUUGAGGUCCUUGCAGGCUGGACCCCAGCGGUGUCCCUGCCUGGUUCCUGGGGAAGAGUCUCCAGGGCCUGCUGGUGACGCACCCCCACCCUCGCAUUGCCUGCAGCGGCGCCAGCUUCCUGCAGCUGCUGCAGAGCCUGGGCCCUGAGCUGGCUGUCACGCUGCUGAUGGCUGUGCUCACAGAGCACAAGUUGCUGGUCCACUCGCUGAGGCCAGACCUGCUCACGAGCGUCUGUGAGGCCCUCGUCUCAGUGAGUACCACCUGUCCGCCCACUCUUCUGGAUUUGUCCCCUUACUUUUC